rnacentral:rRNA from 1 species
CACGUAGGGGGCGAGCGUUGUCCGGAUUUAUUGGGCGUAAAGAGCUCGUAGGCGGCUCAGUAAGUCGGGUGUGAAAACUCUGGGCUCAACCCAGAGACGCCACCCGAUACUGCUGUGGCUAGAGUCCGGUAGGGGAGCGUGGAAUUCCUGGUGUAGCGGUGAAAUGCGCAGAUAUCAGGAGGAACACCAGCGGCGAAGGCGGCGCUCUGGGCCGGAACUGACGCUGAGGAGCGAAAGCGUGGGUAGCAAACAGGAUUAGAUACCCUGGUAGUCCACGCCGUAAACGUUGGGUACUAGGUGUGGGGCGUGGUCAACGCGUUCCGUGCCGAAGCUAACGCAUUAAGUACCCCGCCUGGGGAGUACGGCCGCAAGGCUAAA